rnacentral:lncRNA from 1 species
UAAGGUACUUAAUGUAUUCUCAAGCAACACUUUUAUAAUACGACACCGCUUGGGUGUUGGCUAGGCUCCUACUCCAAUCUAAAUAUUGAACUUGCAGUACCAAUAUUUCCUUUUUAAAUUAUUUAAUUAUUUUCAAAUUUCACAUGUAUGUAGCAAAUUAAGUAUUUUAUCUUCAUACAUAAAUUUUACUCCAAUCCAACUAACGGAUUGCUAAAGAUCUUAGAAACCCUAAUAACCUCUCAAAGUCUAGUUUCCACAACCUCAAGCUACUUAAAAUUCAAUAAUCUUUAAUUCAAAUGUUUGAUUAAG